GCGACGCAUUCCAGUAACGUACGCGAGUUGAGCUUUUACGUCCAUUCAAGUUGUGACUAGACUAGUUUUCUUUUGUUCGUUAACGGUUAAUGAAGUAUUUUUACUCCGAAUGCGAAUAAUUAUGGCGAUGUGUUUUAUUUUUCGUACAUUUCGGUUAAGUAAGUAAUAAUUUGAUGUAAAAAGUUCGUUAGUUAUUCGUAUGUGCCCUUGAGUGGGUGUAACGGUCGAUCAACUCUUUCGUCUCGGAAUGUACUUACCUACUACCUAGGCCUAACGGUUUUUUUAGUUUUUGGAAAUUAUUGUGCUUUCGUGUAUUGUGAUGUAUCGUCACCGUGUUUCUUUAAUAUUAUGUAUUAUUUUCGCGUUUGUUAGUUUUCAGUAAAUUGAGUAAAUUUUAAUUCGUCGAUUGUUUUUUUGGAUCAAGUGGUGUUCGACUCGUAUUUUAACGGUCAAAGUGCUUUUUGCUUACGUGUUGUCUGGUGUCCAACGGUCUGCCAUUUUGUUGCAGUUUUCAAUAAGUUCUCUGUUUACUCAGAUUUCUCGGUAAAUUCUCACGCCGCCCUGAUUUUUUGAGUCUUCGAGGACAGAAAACACUGCAGAAAUGCCACGAAGUAAAUAAAAACGCUGGUUAACCUGUACGAAUCCAAUCGAAUUGUUUUCCACUUAGUUAGCUCGGAUCAGCGAAUCAAACAGGUACUGCUUUCCACUUCUUGAUGUUUUCUAGAUGAAGUUCUGAUCAUCAUACGUACCUGAAGUUCUGGAAAAUUCAAACACUUAUUGUGAACUAUUGAAAAUCUCAAGAUAUUACUGGUCAAGAUUUGUAUCGUACUGAGUCCACCAAAUUUACGAAGAAUUAUUUUGAAAUUCAAAUCCAUACUUGAACGUACAAAUUCCAUACAUUUGCGAGUACGAGUGAUUAUAAAGUUAUUGCAAGUACCUGCUUGGCUGCUUAUAAUUGGUAAAAUUACGAGAAUUAUUUUAAGAAAAAUUUAACGAUCAUUGGUAAGUGAUUUUUUCUCACAAUUUUCUGUACUCGAACUUGCGGGUAUGUGCUUUCAUUUCGUAAUUCGUAGAUAAAAUUAACACCCUUUACCCAUUACAAAAUGUUCUGAUUUUUUAAAAGUUAUUUUUAUACUGAUGCAAAGUUUUUGAAAAAUUUCAUUCAAAAAUUGAAUUUUUUCUUUUUUAAAUCAAAGCACCUUUUUAGAUAUGAAGCAGGAAUUUCUAGAGCUGUAGAUAUACCUACGAUAGAUUUUAUGACGCUCCCUCCCCCAAAUUACCAAAAUCUU